rnacentral:rRNA from 1 species
AGUAGAACGCUGAAGAGAGGAGCUUGCUCUUCUUGGAUGAGUUGCGAACGGGUGAGUAACGCGUAGGUAACCUGCCUUGUAGCGGGGGAUAACUAUUGGAAACGAUAGCUAAUACCGCAUAACAAUGGAUGACACAUGUCAUUUAUUUGAAAGGGGCAAUUGCUCCACUACAAGAUGGACCUGCGUUGUAUUAGCUAGUAGGUGAGGUAACGGCUCACCUAGGCGACGAUACAUAGCCGACCUGAGAGGGUGAUCGGCCACACUGGGACUGAGACACGGCCCAGACUCCUACGGGAGGCAGCAGUAGGGAAUCUUCGGCAAUGGGGGCAACCCUGACCGAGCAACCCCGCGUGAGUGAAGAAGGUUUUCGGAUCGUAAAGCUCUGUUGUAAGUCAAGAACGAGUGUGAGAGUGGAAAGUUCACACUGUGACGGUAGCUUACCAGAAAGGGACGGCUAACUACGUGCCAGCAGCCGCGGUAAUACGUAGGUCCCGAGCGUUGUCCGGAUUUAUUGGGCGUAAAGCGAGCGCAGGCGGUUUGAUAAGUCUGAAGUUAAAAGGCUGUGGCUCAACCAUAGUUCGCUUUGGAAACUGUCAAACUUGAGUGCAGAAGGGGAGAGUGGAAUUCCAUGUGUAGCGGUGAAAUGCGUAGAUAUAUGGAGGAACACCGGUGGCGAAAGCGGCUCUCUGGUCUGUAACUGACGCUGAGGCUCGAAAGCGUGGGGAGCGAACAGGAUUAGAUACCCUGGUAGUCCACGCCGUAAACGAUGAGUGCUAGGUGUUGGAUCCUUUCCGGGAUUCAGUGCCGCAGCUAACGCAUUAAGCACUCCGCCUGGGGAGUACGACCGCAAGGUUGAAACUCAAAGGAAUUGACNGGGGGCCCGCACAAGCGGUGGAGCAUGUGGUUUAAUUCGAAGCAACGCGAAGAACCUUACCAGGUCUUGACAUCCCGAUGCUAUUUCUAGAGAUAGAAAAGUUACUUCGGUACAUCGGUGACAGGUGGUGCAUGGUUGUCGUCAGCUCGUGUCGUGAGAUGUUGGGUUAAGUCCCGCAACGAGCGCAACCCCUAUUGUUAGUUGCCAUCAUUCAGUUGGGCACUCUAGCGAGACUGCCGGUAAUAAACCGGAGGAAGGUGGGGAUGACGUCAAAUCAUCAUGCCCCUUAUGACCUGGGCUACACACGUGCUACAAUGGUUGGUACAACGAGUUGCGAGUCGGUGACGGCAAGCUAAUCUCUUAAAGCCAAUCUCAGUUCGGAUUGUAGGCUGCAACUCGCCUACAUGAAGUCGGAAUCGCUAGUAAUCGCGGAUCAGCACGCCGCGGUGAAUACGUUCCCGGGCCUUGUACACACCNCCUAAANGNGCCACGAGAGUUUGUAACACCCGAAGUCGGUGAGGUAACCUUUGAGCCAGCCGCCUA